rnacentral:tRNA from 1 species
GCGGGCGUAGCUCAGUUGGUUAGAGCACCAGAUUGUGGUUCUGGAUGUCGCGGAUUCGAAUUCCGUCGCUCGCCCCA